AGGAUAAACGCUGGCGGCGUGCCUAACACAUGCAAGUCGAACGUCCUACGCGCAAGCGUAGGGAGUGGCGGACGGGUGAGUAACACGUGGGCAAUCUACCUUUCGGUGAGGAAUACCGGCGAGAAAUCGCCGACAAGACCGCAUACGCUCGGGCAACCGAGCAAAGUCGCAAGACGCCGGAGGAGGAGCCUGCGCCCGAUUAGCUAGUUGGUGAGGUAAGAGCUUACCAAGGCGACGAUCGGUAGCUGGUCUGAGAGGAUGAUCAGCCACACUGGGAUUGAGAACGGCCCAGACUCCUACGGGGGGCAGCAGUGAGGAAUUUUCGUCAAUGGGGGCAACCCUGAACGAGCAACGCCGCGUGCAGGAUGACGCUUUUCGGAGUGUAAACUGCUUUUCUCGGGGAAGAGCAAGGACGGUACCCGAGGAAUCAGCCCCGGCUAACUACGUGCCAGCAGCCGC
rnacentral:rRNA from 1 species